ACACGACACUCUGGAAAGCGGCUUCGCAAGCGUUUGCGGGGCCCACCGAAGGGGUAAGCCGGCACGCGCUACAAGGCGCGCGGCGAAAGCUCUCAGGUUCCGUGACAGAGGGGCGGCU
rnacentral:ncRNA from 2 species